AUACUUACCUGGCGGGAGAUGCCAUGAUCAUGAAGGUGGUUCUCCCGGGGCGAGGCUCAGCCAUUGCGCCGGUUGUGCUGACCCGUAAAUUCCCCAAAUGUGGAAUCUAGAACUGCAUAAUUUGUGGUAGUGGGGGACUGCGUCCGCGCUCCUGAU